CGAGUCCCAUCUACAUGCUUGUUUUUAUCCCCUGCCCCCCGCAAAAAAAAAAAAAAAAAUUGCUUCCACAGCGAAGCUGAGCCACCCUGCUCGGCUUCAUUCCUUAAACUAAGUUAUUACAGCUAAUACUGUGGUUAAUGGUUUCUGGAAAGAUGCCGUCUAUCAGCACUGGAGUGUACACAUUUUGGCCCAAACGUUGAGAAAUCGCAGGCUAUGCAAUGUAAAAAGGAGAGAGAUACAGUUUGUUUCUAGUUCUGGUGGCUAUAAAGUCCAUAUACCGUGGCACCAGUAUCUCCUGGGAGAACUCUCUGGAUUCAUCAUUACAUGGAGCUGAAGAAAGGGAAGUUGGAGGUCACAUGGCAAGAAAGGAAGCAAGAGAGUAGGGCUGGAUGAGGCUCACUCUUUUAUAACAAGCUGCUCUUACAAAAUCUAAUCUACAUUCUUAUGAGACAGAACCUAUGGACAAAGGAAAGACCUUCAUGGAAGAAGUAAAAGAUGUGUGGUUUUCCCCUAUCCUCCUAACCUGAGUCCCCUUCACAGCUACCUACUGCAAAUGGAGAAUUUUACCUGGAAUUGGAAUAUUUUGUUCAAAAAUUGACUUCUCAAGUGAGGCCCCACAUACAAGUCCUUUCCUCACAUCUGAGAGAAGUCGAGCUUCUGAAGACCCAUGUUCUGCUGGAAAUGACACUCAGCAUCUGUGUGGCACAGGACAAACAUUUCAAGGUACACUCACUGUGGCGCCAGCAUAAUGACCCAAUUUAGCAAAACUGCACAUUGCCAGACAGCUUUCCAGGUGAAGACACUGCCUCACAGGGACUUAGUGGACAAAGGACAGAGCUGGAGCCAGGCUAUGUGUCUUAAAAACAGCAAUCCUAUCCAUUCACCCCAUGAGUCUGGGUUCUACCAGAGGAAUGAGCUUAUGACCAUGUGACUCUCAAAAGCCCACAUGCUCUAGGAAAAGUGGUUUUUAAAAUCAAGUUAAUUUGACUGGUCUAUGUUUCUCUGACUGUCUUACCAGUUUAUAAGGUUGAUAAGAAACUCAACCUUAAAACUUAAUUUUCUGUGAUUUGCUUUUUAAUGUAUUUGCAUUAUAAAAAAAGAAAUAAUAAUAACCCUGAAGUUUAUGCAAUCUAAGAAACUAAGCCACUGUGGGAAGGCCUUUUUUUCUUCUCGCUUUUGAUCUAUCAUGGUCACUGGCGAGACACAAGGGACCCAUGUCUUUCCAAAGCUUCUGGAGCCUUUGUUCGGGUCAUCAAACCCUGGAGAUUCCACCCUGGGUGUUGUGUCUGCUCUCAGUGUUCCUGUGUUUCGGUCUCAGGGUACCCAUACCCACAGAAAUCUCACCUGCUCCUUACACCCUGAGGGUAAAACCAUCUUUAUGGGCAGGCAGUCUGUGCACAGCCUCUUCCUUCUCUUAAGUUCUAUUAAUCAAAGCCAUCCUUACAAUCCUCUGAAGGAAUGGAUGCUCUGAACACCCAAACAAAAUGUUCAGAUGGCCUCUUCCACAGCAGGCUGGAGUGCAGCUUCCCAAGAUGUCAUGGCAAUACCACAGCACACAACUCAUUUGGAAUGUGCUUGCUCGGUCACAUAGAAAUUGUCAGUAAAUCACUCUGCUACAGGUUGUCAUAUUAGAGAGCAAGCUCAGAAGGAGCCAGUGUUUCGCUACCUUGGAUUCUUCGCAUACAGAACAAUGGCAUUGCUAAAGGACAUGUGUCUGAAGACCCCACUAGUCCCUGGAGCUACUAAUGUUCACUGUAGCUGCCUUGAUAUUUAAAUUUUUUUUCUCCUUAAUUUCCCAUUUUCCUUUAUUCUAUGUGUAUUUCUUUGUUCUCCCUCCCCCAAGUAUAUUUAGCUAUGCAAUUUCAAAAUGGUAAAGUAGAUACCAAUGUUGCUAAUAUAGAAGUAUAAGGGUAGGAGACAACCAGAAGAAUGAUGAUAGAAAUGAGAACUACUGUUGCCAGUCUUGCCUUCACAUGCUCUCUUUAUGAGCUCUCUGCAGAUUUGUUAGCAUUUCCAGGGAAAGAAUGCAAGGACCAGUGGCUAGUGUAUACAUCUGAAAGUGUGCACCUUGUCUGAGGGUUCGAAGGGGGUGAGAAGGGCGCAUGUCCAGAGGAGGGAAUGCAAAGCUUUCUGCCAAACCCUAGAACCCUUUCUGGAGAUUGUUUCUUCUGAUCCCAUCACCUGUGCAGCUCUGCAAAUUGAAUAUGGUAUUGGUCCAACUCCGAGAGUAGUCAGCUCAGCCUGGCUUUUGUCUCUAAUGGGUCUCUUUAUCAGAAAGAGUUCUAAAAUGGCUGUUUUAGAAGUGUUUUAGAACAGAGGGAGCCAAACAGGUGAUAUCUUUCUCCAAAAGGUUAUCUUCCCGCAGCACGGAGAAGUUGGUUAACAUUGGAGGAGGCACAUUUAACAGAUUGGCUUAGUCCCCAGUAAAGGUCAGGAGUCUGUCUCCCCUCCAUCCUUCAUGCUCCUCUUUCCUCCCUGUUGCCUCUUCUGCUUCAAUACUCUGUCUUAUCUUGAACUAUUCUAACUUCCACAUGACACAGAGAAGAAUACUGGGAAUGUGUGGAGAGCAUUAUAAAACUAACAGUUUAUUACUAACUUGUCAUGUGCUUAAAACUUGUUAAGUAAGUUUCUCUGUCUCUCCUCUGUCUCUCUAUCUCUCUCUAUCUCCCUGUUUCUCCUCUCUUUCUGUCUCUCUCAUUCUCCCCCCUCUCUCUCUUUACCACACCACAUUUAAAACAAUUACCCAAGAAACCCAACCACACAGCUCCUAUUUACUAGAAAAAUCAGAUUCUUUAUUUCACGUUUUGCAUUUCUGUAAUUUUCUUUCUAUGUUUACCAAGUGGUGUUUCCCCUCAAUCAAUAUAUUGUAUAGGAAUAGUACUAUAUCCUUCAGACCCCCAAAUCCAUUGUAUGUACUUUAUUAUUGUUGAUAUUCGUGGUAUAAUUAUUUGUCUUUUAGAAACAGGGUCUCGCUAUGCAGCUCUGGCUGGAACUCACUAUGUAGAAUAGGCUGCUCGUGAACUCAUAAAGAUCUACCUGC